GUCGAAACUCUGUCGGUCACGUCAACGAGUCCACUGACACACUGCUUCAGCUUUCCUUAUCCCGUCCACAUGCACUCCCCAUCCAUUCAUUUUUUCCACCGCUGAGUGCCUGAGUCUCGUCUUAUCCCCAACUUUCUUUCCCCAGGCUCUCAACUAAAUCUCGCCAGCAACGAGCGUCGUCGAUCCCGCGCCAACCUGACGGCCUCCCUCCACGCAUCCUCCCCUGCAAAUGGGCGCUACUUUGGGAGGCACCCACCACUGCGCACGGCGAGAGGGGAGGACAUGGCCGGUGACAUCGACAGGAUGCGGUGCUAGGUGACCGGACAUGACCGGCGAACCGACGAGUAGGUGAAGAUGACGCUCGGGCGGCGACAAACGGUGGCGCCAUGUUUUAUUUAUUGCUGGAACCACUUCAGAUUUUUGUUGGAUCCCCUUUUAUAUUUUGCUACAAAUCGAGAAGAUGUUGUUAUCGCCAUCAUGAUUUUUUUGCUACAAUUUUGAUCUUUGCUGGAACCAUAUUUGAUUUUUGCUGGAACUAGCAAUCACUUUUUCUACAAACAGCCGAAGCAGAGCUGGAACUGUUACAGCGGGCCGGCGCCCGAGCACAACGGCGUCGACGGCGGGAGUACCCACCGGAGCCGCAAGCGGGCAGGCAUGAGGUGGACGGAGGCGAGGCGAAGGCACAGGCGGGAGGGCUCACGGGGAGGAGGAGGCAGAGCCAGGACAGGGUCAAUCCCGUACGGGACGAGGUGGACGAAACGAGGACGCCAAAUCGGACGGGUGUAAUAGUUGAAAUUGGACGGUUGCGCGUUGACCGGCGCAAAUUGGGCUGGUCGACCAGCGCCUAGUACUCGCCUCCAGGCAAUCCUUAAGUUGCUGCACGGACCAACUUCCCUUGGUGCAAAAAUCCUCAAGUCGAUAUACUAUCCAGCAUGCUUUAUUUUCGAA